rnacentral:lncRNA from 1 species
UUAUUUUGUUUGCUUGAGGGCAAGCAAAAUCUAAGUAUGAGGCGGCGUUUUUGAGUUUGUGUUAUGUUGAGUCAGUUUUUAUGUUGUGUUUUGGGUGUUGUGAGCCUCGUGAUUGUUGAAGUAUUAGUGAUAAGCAUGCUGCCGGUUGAGUUGUGUGAUGAACUUGAGAUUUGAUACUUGAGAUUUGGGAUUUUGAGAUUGAAAAUUUUGUGUUUUAAUUGAAUGACAUUUGGGAUGACAAAUAAGAGCAAUAAUGAGUAAAAAGUUACAUAUAAGUGAGAAUUGAGCUUAAUAGAGUAGAUCAAUCUCUACUAAUCUUCUUUUUGAGUGGUUUGUUAUUCAUGAAGUUGUGAUAUGUUGUGAGUCAUUGGUGAUGCAUGAUAGAAGGCACUAGGGUAGCCAUUUGGCCUGCUUUUAAAUUCCUACCUAAACAUUAACCCUUAGUGAGCCAUUUUUGAAGUCUUGACCAUGUUCUUUCUUAUUAGUCACUAAAUAAUUAAGCCAAGGCCUGUUUUGAACUAUCUCUUUGGCCCAGUGAUGCAUGUCUAAUUCCGAACUUCAUUCCAUUAAUUACUAGAGAAAGUUAAGCUGUGUUCUUAUGUGCUGUUUGCCCAAACUGCUGUCUUGUGCAAAAUGAUAAGGAUCUGUGAUCCGUCUGGCCAAAUAGUGGCAUUGAUCAGUUGAGUUCUUGGGAUGGGAGCAGUUUUGGGAGACGAUUUGUGGAUAUUUUGUAGAUGAUGAUUGCAUGUUGAUUGAGGAUAUAAAAAAAGAAGGGUGCUGACAAAAAAAAAAAAACAAAAAAACAAAGAAAAAAAAGAAAAUGUUGCACCAGUUUGAGUUGAGCAUGUAGUAUCAUUGUUAUUAUUGGAGUUUUUCCCCUAAGUUUAGUUGCUUUCUUUCUUUCUCUAUGAACUUGAAAUUGUGGAUGAUGGUUUGGAUUAGAUGUGCACACUUUGAUUUUCAAUGUUUAAGCUUAGGACCCCUAGGAUCUUGCCAACAUCAUGAAUGGUCCUUAGCC